UGAUUUGAAGGUCCGUAGCUCAGUGGGGAGAGCAUCUGCCUUGCAUACAGAAGGUGCUGGGUUCAAUCCCUGGCACAUCAA